UUCUCGAAGUCCCUCACAAUAUUUUUCUAAAUAAAAUUUAUCAUUUUAAUUUCAAACAAAUUUUACUUAGCUGUAAUAUAAAUUCAAAGACCUCUAAUAAGAAGGAUCUUCCUACUCAUUAGAAAAGUACAAUAUGCAUUAGGUGUCUAAGGAUAUUUGAGUAUAAACAAAACAAAUGAAAAUGAAGUGGCCAAUUAGAGUAAUUCUUAUAGUAGUAGAAACAACUUAGUAUUUUACAUUCUCACUGAAACUUUCUGUAAGAUUAUCUCCUCUGACUAAACAACCAACAAUUUGAUAUCUUAAUAUAUUUGGGGAAGGCUUCAUGAUUGUUCUGGAAAGAUUACACAAUCAAAAGACUUCAGUUGAAUUUAACUUCAGAGAAUCCACCUUCCUCAUUUUAACUAAGAACAGUAAUACUGAUCAGCAUACAUUAUAGGCUUGGUGCCAAGAGGCAGCUAAAUACGUCUUUAAAAAAUAUUUUGAAAACUGUGAAUUGAUACACAAAUAUGACCAAUCAGUCUAAAGGCAGCAUAUGCUUGGUUAACAGCAUAGAUUCUGAAGAAAGUUUCAAAAGUUUGAACAAUUAAGAUGCUAGUAUUGCUCCACAGUAAUUUUGACAGUAGUACUAUAUAUUAAAAAUCUAUCCAGGAGUGACGGCUCAUGCCUGUAAUCCCAGCACUUUGGGAGGACGAGGCAGGCAGAUCACUUGAGGUCAGAAGUUCGAGACCAGCUUGGCCAACAUGGUGAAACCCCAUCUCUAAUAAAAAUACAAAAAUUAGCUGGUUGUGGUGGUGCACACCUGUAAUUCCAGCUACUUGGGAGGCUGAGGCAGGAGAAUCUCUUGAGCCCAGGAGGCAGAGGUUGCAGUGAGUCAAGAUCAAGCCACUGCACUCCAGGUUGGGUGACAGAGUGAGAGUCUCUCGAAAAAAAAAAAAAAAGAAAGGAAGAAAAAUAAAAAGAAAACCAUUAGUAACAGUUACUGCAAUGUUAUUUUUACAUCUUUGCAUGUAGCCUCACCAUACUCCUUUGAGUAGAUUUUAUAUUUCUACUUCUAAAAAUAAGGAAACUAAUGCUUAUAAAUGAUAGACAUCAGACUAACUGCCAUUUAUCUGGGCUGCUUUGGGUAAAUUUCGUAUCAUUUACAAGUUGAACAAACAAAACAAAAACUUGGAGUGCAUGUUAGCUUCUGACUCUGUGGAGGGUUGGGACUGCUGCCUACUGGCACAGGAUGCCAGACACUCUGGAGAAGAGCCUCAGAAGAUCAUAAUAACCCAAACUGAAGGCGUGCUAUAAUAAGAUUUGAAAGUGGCAGCUAAUGAUUCAUGGAUCACAUGCCAGCAUAUCUGUCACUUCAGAUACCACUGUCUGCAUUACAAAGGAAGCUAGGCAACCUGUUCAAAAGCACUGUUUUUUGGUUUUUUGUUUUGUUUUGUUUUUAGAAAUGGAGUUUCGCUCUUGUUACCCAGGCUGGAGUGCAAUGGCGCGAUCUCGGCUCACCGCAACCUCCGCCUCCUGGGUUCAGGCAAUUCUCCUGCCUCAGCCUCUUGAGUAGCUGGGAUUACAGGCACGUGCCACCAUGCCCAGCUAAUUUUUUGUAUAUUUAGUAGAGACAGGGUUUCACCAUGUUGACCAGGAUGGUCUCGAUCUCUUGACCUCGUGAUCCACCCACCUUGGCCUCCCAAAGUGCUGGGACUACAGGCUUGAGCCACCACGCCCAGACGAAAUGCACUGUUUUAAUCAAAAAGUUCUCAGCUACUUACAAAGACUACAUUUAAAGGAACGAAAGGUUUAGUGGAGGUGAGACAAUAAAAACAUCAGAGGUCACACCUCCAAUAAAAAUAAAAACAGAGAAAAGCAAUAGAAAGACAGCUCCGUAGUCUGGAGGGCAAGUCAAAGAUGAAUUUGAGGAAAAAGAAGAUACGUUGAUAAUAGAUUAAGAGGAUGUGGUAGAGGAAGCUAUUAACAUGCCUAAACCAUAUAAACUGAAUAAAUUGAACAAAUGGAGAGAAGGGAGCUUUGAAAAUAUUAUAGACUUUCCCUAAAACUGUAAAACAGGAAUUACUUUUAAUAUAGUUAGCUAUCAUUAGGAUACUUAAUUUAUACCUAAUUGUUUAACUCAUUCUAAGGUAGAUAACUGAGUUUAUGCUGGAAGGUUUCAUUAAGAAUUAUUUGUAAAAGCAUUUUUAUAGUAGAAUUGUGGUGGGCACAGAAUGCUGGAAUCAGAAUUGAAACAAUCAUUUUCCCAGCCAUCAGCCUAGAGAUUCUAUGCUCAGGACGUUGAGACACUGACUUUGGCUGAAGGAAGCUGUCUCACCCAAGAUCACGGAAGUGUAGCCCACAUCCAGUAAUGCUGGAUUUAGGGUAAAAAGGCCCAACCCUUUUUACCUUAAUUAGGGACAAUCCUAAAGAACUAUCCCAGCUUCAGAGCUUGCAGUGGAGUGAAUGGAUUAGGCUUCAACCUCUCGAUCUUCUCAAUUCAGCUUCCUUCCUUCCCUUAAGAAAGUUCCCCAAGAGCACCCCCCAAACAGUGCCCCUACUUUCAAAUUUCCACAUCAGUGCCUCUCUUUCAGAUCUAAAAUCUAUGAGGUGGUCAAAGUUGUCCCGAAUAGUUUACUGGUUACAUUUUGAACCCUGAAGUUAGAAUAAUCUGCCUUCAAAUAUCAGUUUCUCAUAAUUUGUGUGAUCUCAGGCAACAUCUUCAUUAGAAAAUGGAGAGAACUGCCGGGCGCGGUGGCUCAAGCCUGUAAUCCCAGCACUUUGGGAGGCUGAGGUGGGUGGAUCAUGAGGUCAAGAGAUCGAGACCUUCCUGGUCAACAUGGUGAAACCCCGUCUCUACUAAAGAUACAAAAAAUUAGCUGGGCAUGGUGGUGCAUGCCUGUAAUCCCAGCUGCUCGGGAGGCUAGGGCAAGAGAAUUGCCUGAACCCAGGAGGUGUAGACUGCAGUGAGCCGAGAUCGUGCCAUUGCACUCCAGCCUGGGUCACAAGAGGGAAACUCUGUCUCAAAAAAAAAAGAAAAGAAAAUGGAGAGAGCAAUGACCCCUAUCUAUAACGUUGAAAAGAUAAAAUAGCAUAUGUUUUUAUCAUAUAAAUGCUCAGUUAAUAUUCAAUUAAUGUCAUCUAAUUAUAUAGCUAAUGUUAUCAUCUAUGAUAACAUUAAAUCCCCAUUUAAAUCCCCAUUUAAAAAAAAAAGAAAGAAAGAAGCUACCCAGUGGGCAUUUGCUCUCCUAGGAAAACAACUCCAAUCAGCACUCAGGAUGCUCAGAAUAUAAAUAGUAGCAGCCAGAAUUUGCUUGCAAUGGAACUGCACAAGUCCCUGACAUCAUUUUCCAGAUGUGAAGUUAGUAACAGUCAACAAAUUGAACAGCUGCUAUGAUGACAACUUUGUGUUUUUUCCACAGAUUUUGUGACAAGUUAGUAAAAGUUCACCCUUAUAUCCUCCAAAUUUUUUCAUUAAUGAGAGACUUUAGAAAUGUAAGGGAUGGUGUGAACAACUGGAAGACUAGAUUAGAAAAUGAAAGGGAAAUGGUAUUCAGCAAUUUGUAUGAUUUUUACACACCAAACAAUAGCAAUCUGUGAAAACAUACUUUAUGUAAUGCUACAGAAUAAUGCAAUAUUUCUGGUGGUUUAAGAACAUUCAAAUCACUUUUUAUUUAUGUGUAUACCCUUGAUUUUAUUUUCCUUAUCAUCAAAUGUUGAUGGGACUUGAAGCCAAGCCAAAUGAUGCUUAAUCCCUGCUUUGGCUGCUUUAUUUCUAAUAUCCCUUAGUCAGCUUCAGACGUUGGGGAAGGGAACCAGCUGUGUAUAAGAUGAUGCAGUAGCAGCUAGAGACAUACCACAAGUAGAAAAUGACUGUAUACAACUGUCCUGUGUGUGUGUGUGUGUGUGUGUAAUAGGUAUAGGCACUUAUUCUGGUGCUAACCAUGUCUUAUAAAGUAUAUUUGAUACUGAAGGAUUAAAGAUAGGCUUUCAGUACCAGUGCUUUCAAACUAAAAACAUCAUGCACUCAGAUGUGUUUUCAGAAAAAAAAGUUAUUUUUUCUAAAUAAAUAUUGAGAAAAUAGUGAUUCAAGUGAACAUGAGCUACCUAAUCCUAAACUAUAUUCCUAGAUUCUCAGUGUUUAGAACUUCACCUUCAGAAUCAUGAAUACAAAAAUACUUACAAAUGAAAUAGUUUGGGGUAUUCCACUAGACCCAAGGGAUAUAAAGUGAUCUAAGAUAUAAUUCUAAUCUUUCAGAGCAGUUUUGCUUUUAUUCAAGAUAAAAUAACAAUUCAAUACAACCUGUACAUUUUACAGAUGGAGAACAAGAAACAAAAGUUACCAUAAUAGGAAGUAAAGACUUAGUUCCAAAAGUCCUGGGAAAUGAAAGAACAUUUCUUAGGAGAAUUAUCUUCCAUGGAUUUAUGUAUUUUCAAUUUAAACACAGAAGACAUUUUUCUCAUCAGUUUAUAGGAGAUUGCAUUAAUUUUAUAACUGACUAUUGAGCUCCUACACAUCAGAUUUUGCCUUCAUUUUGCACAUAUAUUUGAAUAUUUUUUAAAAAGGAGAUAACAUAUCUUUUCCUAACUGAAAUUUUUAAAUUUGUCUUUGCAAAGUCAUCUCCUGACAGGAAAAGAAAACUAUGAGCUCAAGUCAAAUUGCCCAAAAACUUCAGAGUCCAGAUUUGGUUCUUCCGCUCUCAUCAGCAAAACAGCACUGGCUUUCAGAAGACUCUGGCCCAUGUAGGCCUCUUUAUUCUGCUUUGACCCAAUGGAAUGAAUGCUAUGACCUAUUUCAAUAUUUCUAAUAACAUGGAACAUUUUUCCACUCAGUGCAUGUAUUUUACUAAAAAUACAUAAAUUUAGCUUCCUUAAUAUUCAGAGGAUAAGAAAUGAGCCUCUCUGGAAAUAGUUAACAGAAGUUAGAUGUGCAGAGACAGUGUAGAGAUGGUAGCAGUUAAUUGAACUGAAAUGGUUCCCAUAGUAUUUGCUUUUUAUAGAGAUUUUUCAUCUAGUUACAAAAUGUAUAAAAAUCCCAGGACACAUAUAUUCAUGGUGCCCCUAUCUGUUCAAUUAAUUAAAAAUCAUUUCAAGAUUUUUUCUCUACUUUACUGCACAAGGGAAGGAAUUCAAAGGCAAGGAACAAUUUUAAGUCCAUUGGAAACAUAAAGUUGCAUGGGAAAUUACAUCACAAGAGAACAAUUGUUGCUGUUUAGUCAAAAGCUCAUUCUCUGCCAUAUGCUUACAGGCUGUUGCAUAUUUUUGAAAUUCCUGUUUUUAAAUUUUAUUUUAUAAUCAUCAGUACAGCUGGCGAUUUUGCUACAAGCACAGUUAAAAUGAAAUUAGAGACAUUCAAGCAUAGGGAUCCAUUGAGAAUCUCAGAGUUGGUAUGAAGAUUAUUUUGAACUGAUGAGAUUUGAGAUUAAACAAAUACAGAAAGAAGGCUUCUCAGGGCUUCCAUUAUCUGACAAAAAGCAGCAACUUCUGGAAAAUGAGGCUGCCAUAAAGUACUCCAAUGAGAGAGGCCAAGAUAAACCUGCCCUAAAUCCCCUCUCAGGGGAAGCUUCAUGGCCAUGAUGAACACAGUAAAACCACUCACACCUGCAUAAAAGAAUAUCACAAUUUUUUGUCUCCCAUUUGUUUGCCUAAAAAUUCGUUAAUUUUUCUUUAAGAAAACUUGUUUCUUGUUCCCAGAACAGUGUUAUCAUUUCUUUUCUUUCUCCUACUAAACUAUGAAUAUAAGCCUCUAACAUUAAGCAUUUAGUAAACUAGUUAGAUCUUCUGUUAGUUCCUGUAUAGAAAUGAACCUUUUUACUCCUGUUAAUCUAUCUUUUGUCAAUUACUUUGUAGACCUGCAGCAAAUUAACUCAAGAAGGUAGAAGAAAAUGUUUUCCUACCUGACACUAGAGAUGAGAGCACCUAGUAACAAUUCAAAUGUCAACUACAAGUCUAUUACAGAAAAUUAGCUUUGUUAAAAGCAAAAUCCAUUAAUGUGUUUCAUAUAUCAUAGUAUUCUUUAAUAACUUAAAUAAUCUUGAAUAAGUACCAAAAAAGCAUGCCUUCCUAUUUACAUCAAACAAAGGCUUAUCCAUAUAUUUCCAGAUUUUUUAAAAAUGGAAAACCAGCAUUCAUGGUCAGUAGUGUUUGUUAGUGAUAUUUAGCAUUCACUUUCUAUGAAAAUAAAUUUCAGAAAGAUAGAAAUUAAAUAAAUCUCCAAAUAUUUUUCAACAUAGUAAAUUGAAUUUGAGGCUAAAAACACAAUAUGUUAAACAUGUAAUUUGUUAGUUAUUAUCACUGUUAUAUGUUUAAGUAUGUCCCUGUAUGACUUUAUCUAGGAAUUUACUUUUUCCUUGUUUGUUUUUUUGAGACAGGGCCUUACUGUACUAACCAGGCUGGAGUGUACCAGUGCGAUCUCAGCUUACUCCAACCUCUGCCUUGUGGGUUCAAACAAUUCUCGUUCCUCAGCCUCCCAAGUAGCUGGGAUUACAGGUGUGGGCCAUGAUGCCUGGCUAAUUUUUGUAUUUUUAGUAUAGACGGAGUUUCUUUGUAUUGGCCAGGCUGGUCUCAAAGUCCUGAGCUUAAGUGACCCACUUGCCUCAGCCUUGGUGGGAUUAUAGGUAUGAGCCACUGCACCAAACCAGGACACUUUCAUUACUGCAGUAAAUUUAAAAGACAAUUUUCUGGUGACUCACACCUGUAAUCCCAGCACUUUGGGAGGCCGAGGCAGGUGGAUCACGAGUUCAAGAGAUCGAGACCAUCCUGAUCAACAUGGUGAAACCCCAUCUCUACUAAAAAUACAAAAAAUUAACUGGGCAUGGUGGCGAGUGCCUGUAAUCCCAGCUACUCAGGAGGCUGAGGCGGGAGAAUUGCCUGAACCCAGGAGGUGGAGGUUGCGGUGAGCCAAGAUCACGCCAUUGCACUCCAGCCUGGGUAACCAGAGCGAAACUCCAUCUCAAAAAAAAAAAAAAAAGUCAAUUUUCUUUUUUAAUGCAAACGUAUACCCACAAACUAUCUUAAUAUGGUCUCUGACUAUCACUGUCAAAGACAAAGUUCUCUUCUGAGUAGAAUAUUAUUCUAAUUCACAUAGCAUUUCUUAUGGCUUCAAUUUCUUAAUAUUGUAACUUCUUAAUAUUUUAUUGUAUUCACAGCAUGGAAGUCCUGGAUAAAGGAAAAGACAGUUACAUGCUAACAGUUAUUUCCUUUAUUUUAUGUACUAAGAAUCAAAAUGUCCAGGAGUUGAUCUAACAGAAAGAGUCAUUUACAACAAGAUGCUUCUUAAAGGCUACUUAUUCCUUCUCAAGAAGAUAGAUGCAUUGCCUGUAAAUAGAUGAGCAGCAAUUCCUGAGACUUACUAGCUUGCCUGGGUGGGUUGAAAAGACAUUAAGAGUAAUGGCAAAACAAAAAAUUUUUGCACCAAUCUAAUGAAUCCUUCAAGAAGCAUCCUAUCCGAGAUCCAGGUGUGGCAAGGUUUGAGUCCCUUGGACACUACAAUACUUCCAAUUUCCAGGGUGUGAUUUGGCUUCACUUUUUUAUUGCUGUUAACAGGUGGACAGAAAAAGAAUAGACAAACCAAUUUCAUGUUCCUUAUUUUCUAUGAGCUCCAGAGAGGGAACUUAAGGUCUACUAACAAGGGAUACCUUAAAAAUUUAGAAAAAAAAUGAAUAAAAGGAAGCCUACCUAUUUUGGACACAUUUUAUGGGUAGAAUAAUUACAACAGGGCAGAGAUAAUAUUUUUUACACUGCUGAACAGCAAGGGUAUGAUUUGUAAGCAGAUAGCUGAAGUACACAUUAUCUCAGUGGGCCUUAAAGUUAAUUAUCUGAAGAAUGUAAAUGAAUUCACAAAAGGAAAAAGAUAAAUCAUGAUUAAUGUAUUGGACAAUCCCUAAGAAGAACACAGGUCAUUAAAUGCAAACUUUGAUUCCAGUAAAAAUAUUCAUUUUUUCAGGAACAUAGAUAUUAGUGCAAAUAGCUUUUUAAAUAAUAUAUGCAGAUCCUUUCACUAAUUUAUUAUUCAAAAUUUGGGCAAUUUUAUAGAAAAUAAGCAUAAAAAAUAAUAAAAGGUCAUAGAAAAAUUUUGUCAUCAUGUUUCACUUACACAAAUUGCUAUACCUAAUCUAGGUUAUUAAACUAAAUUAUGUUGAUAGGUAAAUACGUAUUGAACCAUCAAAGUUACAGGCUCAUAUUCUUUGAUUUUGUAAAGAUUUUUGGAUCUAGGUAAGUAUCAUCCCUAUGAAACAGGCACAUUUAUCAUAUAAGCAUCUCAGAUGUGCUGUUUCUCCUCUUUGUUCUAACAAAUAUUGUAAUGAAAUUGUAUUUCACUGGCCUGAUUUCCUAACCUUGCCAGGCAAACUGAGCAGACACUUUGAUUUUACGGGAGAACUGAAGAUCAAAAGUCUUUUCUGACAUUUCUAGAAUAUCACAGUCCUAUGGACACACUAAAUAGAUAGUAUUUCAGUAUCAACUUUUUUUUUUUUUUUGAGACAGUCUUGUUCUGUUGCCAGGUGCCAGGCUGGAGUGCAGUGAUGCCAUCUCGGCUCACUGCAACCUCCGCCUCCCGGGUUCAAGUAAUUCUCCUGCCUCAGCCUCCAGAGUAGCUGGGACUACAGUUGCACACCACCACGUCCAGCUACUUUUGUAUGUUUUUAGUAGAGAUGGGGUUUCACAUUGUUGGCCAGAAUGGUCUUGAUCUCUUGACCUCGUGAUCCACCCACCUUGGCCUCCCAAAGUGUUGGGAUUGCAGGCGUGAGCCACCGCGCCCAGCCUCAGCUGCAUUUUUGAUAGAAAAUUUAAAUUUAAAGUAUACCAUAUCAAAGUUCCUGAUUCUUAAACUCCAAAAAAUAAAACACUUCUAAAGUGGAUUUUACUUAUGACAUAUAAUGUAUAAGGAAGAAAGAAAACAAAGAAUGUAAAGAAAUAAGAGGAAGAGUAAGAUGAAAGAAGGGGAAGAAAGAAAAGGGAGAGAGAGAAAAAAGGAGAGAAUUUUUAAAAGGAGGGAAAAAAGGCCAAGGAGAAGGAGGGAGAGAGAUAGAAAGAAAAAAAUACACAUGUUCAUUUGAUGAGAUGGUUUAAAUAAUUUUACUAUGCAGUUAUUUUAUCUUCUUAAUGCAGUAAAACAUUGAGAAAAAGAAUACAUUAAGACUUGAAAGCAAAAUGAGCUGGCAAGGCACAAUGGCACAUACCUGUAAUCCCAGCAUCUUGGGAUGCCAAGAUGGGCAGAUUAUGAGGUCAGGAGUUCAAGACCAAUCUGGCCAACAUAGUGAAACGCUGUCUCUACUAAAAAUAGAAAAAUUUAGCCAGGUGUAGUGGUAUGCACCUGUAAUCCCAGUUACUCGGGAGGCUGAGGCAGGAGAAUUAUGUGAACCUGGGAGGCAGAGGUUGCUGUGAGCCAAGACUGAGCCAUUCCACUCCAGCCCAGGCAACAGUGGGAGACUCUAUCUCAAAAAAAAAAAAAAAAAUGAGUUAACUCAACAUGGUCUUGCCUUAUUAAAGGGUUAAAUUCUAUUCCGACUCCUUUUUUCUGGCAUUAAACUCCAGAUUCUUGACUGUUUGCCCAGCAUCUUCCAGAGGCCUCUGCCUUUAUGAAGUGUUAAGAUGCAGUCCCACCUGACUGGCUCAUCACCCUGCCAUCCAUGCUGUGUGAAAAUAUUCAUCAAAGCCACAUUGCAGACAAAUUUACCUCUUGCUUAGAUUUUCUCUGAGUCAUAAGGAAACUAACGUCAAUGACAUCACUGGAGAAUGAAGACUUAUUACAUCAAACAUUUCAAUCAGAAUGUCAUAGGACUUCUAGUUAUGAUCAUCAUAGUCCAUGGAAUUUCUAAUUCAUCCCCAACAUCAAAUAUACUAUUCUUUUGUUUCCAUAAAUAUGUCUGUGCUCAGGAAGAAAAGCGUGAUUAUUCUUCUUAUGUUCUACAGAGUUCUAAACUAACUGAAUAAUGAUACAGAGUUUAAAAGUAGUAUAACAAGAGAUAACAAUAAAAUAAAAUAGAAACUAUCUGAUCAGAAUAGAAAAAAUACAUAUUACCAGACCUAAGAGAUUUGCUAAUUUUUACAAUUUGCCUCUAGAUUUGAUUUAAAUAUGCUGCUAACUAAAGUUAAAAAAUGAAAACAAAGUAUCUUAUAUAGUUUUAAUUUCAUUCAAUUUAAUUUGUGGAGAAUUAUAUUUCUGGGGUCCUCAGUGGUAAAAAAUUAUUUCAUUGUAUCUUUGUUAAGAAGAGAAUGUUAUUCAAAUUGACAUUUUAAAACAGAGAAUUUCUAUACAUGUUGAAAGCAUAGCAGAUAUGAAGAUACUUCUACAGGUAGGAAUUGUGACAACUUUGCAUGUGUACUUUUGCUGGCAAUCUAAUUUAAUAUACAGACAAAAUGUGUUUAUUUUAAUAUAGAGAAAUGGAUGGAUAAAUGCCCAUUACACCAUCUCUCAAAUAUUAAAUUUAUUCCAUUAUUAAACACCUUUAUUUGAUGGGAACUUGGUAUCAUGAAAUUCACGACUGCAUUUUUAAAUGUGCUCCUAAUGUAGACACUCUGAGCCACUAUGUAAAGUGAGAAGCAUAUGCUUUAGCUAUGAGAGGAAGGCUGAAUUUUCAUGCUGUGGAAGUUUAACUGCCAAACUGAUAUUCUCACCCAGAUACGUUGUUAGGAAAUGCCUGGAAAAUAAUUGUUCUAUAGACAUUAGCUGAGUCUAAGGCUGAGGCAGCCUAACACACUGACCAUUGGCCUGUGGGCCUCAGGGGAGUCAAACAAAAUAAUUUUGGUAACCUAUUCUGAGCGUCCCCAAGAAGGACUAUACAUCCAGCAGACCCCCAUUAGUCUCUAAAUCUGCACUGUGGAACCACCUUUCAUAAGGCUCUUUGGUAUGUCAGAAAUAAACCAGGUAUGCAAUCCACAGCUGACACCAAUGGUAUGAAUGCAGAUUUUCAUGGGUAAUUCACGUCUUUAUUGCUCAGAAACAGAAGUACCUUAACAUUAUGAAGACAUGAAAUGUGGUAGAAGUAGUUACUCUCCUCAUUAUUUCAACAGAACGAAGGCAUGAAAUAUGGCUUUCACUUGAUCACUGUUUAUUACCAAACAAUUAUGGCCAGGAAACAUAUUAUUGCUUAAAUAACAGUCUGCACUACGUAAAACCUGGAUUUUCAGUACAACUUUUCUGAAUCAAGAUAAAUCUUGGGAUCCCUGAACUUUGAGAGAAGGUUGUUUGGAGUCUUAAGAAGCAUUUGGAACAUGUGGAGCUGUUCUUUCUUAAACUGGGAAUGACUUAUGAAUUAUAAGAUAUUGUGAAUUAAAUGUAAUUUGUUUGAAUAUAAUUUUUGAUUAUUUUUCUCAAAUAUUUUAUGUCCUCUCAGAUUCCAAAUCUGGUACCAGGCUUUUAAGGGGAUGUCUUAGAUAUAAUAUUAGCUGCAUAAUUGCCUAGUUCCUUGUUGGAUUCUUGAUUACAUAAUCUCCACUGACCAUUUAGUUGAAAUUACAGUGCUGGAAAAUUCUCACUUUAUUCACUUACACUUUAUCCUCCCGAUGACAUAAAUUUGUAGUCAUUUUAUAACUUUUCUUAAGUUAAAUUUCAAAUGCUUUAAUCUAAUCUGGAGGUCCUACUUUGCUAUUUCUGUUUUAACAAUAAAUAAUAGAUAAAAUGUAAUAUUCCAAGAAGAUAUUUACAUUGCUCCUUGGGUAUAUUUACUAGUGUUUCUAGAAACCCAUCUGUACAUUUAUUUCAAUUCUCUCAUUAGUGCCACUGGUAAAACCCAGAGCAAAAAAAUGACAUGCAGCAUAACCUUGAUUUUUGUAGCAUCCUGGUUUCUCUUUGCAAAAAAAUCUGAUCAUGAUUCUGUCUUUUGAAGUGAGCUGUGGAGCCAUUUAGAUAAUUUUCAGAUAUUACACUGAAAAUAUUGAAUAAAUUUAUGUUACAUAUAUGAAUUAUGGAAGAUUAUAAAAUAAAUACACUUGACAUUCUUUCUCCUGACAAUAAAGCCUUUAGAAGUCAUUAAAAAGAGCUUUGUUUGUGAGUUGAACAUUUAACGGAAAUUAAUCAGUCAACCACUCCCAACAAUGUAUUUCACUUUUCUUAUUAAACUUUUUGUUUCUUUGUUAUUUAUUCAUUACUGUUUUAACCUUGACACAUCUGUGAAUCCAUCUGAAAAAUUAUCUUGACCAAUAACUGAUAAGAUGUUUUCUUAACAUGUCGCUUCAGGGAGACAGCUUGUAUAAUAUUAAAAGUGAGUCCUGUAUCACAUUUUCACAGUUAAAUAUAAAAUUUGUUAAAUAUAAAGUAUGUUCAUUAUUUAAGUAUUUAUAAUUGAAAUUACUACAUCAUUAUUACCAUAAUGCUGGAAAUAGAAUCUGACUUGAAUAAAUUUUAUUUUUUGAAAUGUAUAAUAUUAAGAAAGAAAAUAACAUUGUAUAUAGUUCUCUGGUGCUAAUUUAAAAAAUAUACCUGUCUCUAACAACAUUAAACCCAUGUUAACAAAUUACAAAGGUUAAAAAGCUUAGAUUUUAAACAUUUCAAAAUAUCAUAACAUAAAAUCUUUAGUUAUAAAAAUUCUCGAUUUGUUCGUAAGUGGCUUCUGGCAAACUCUAAUAAUAUCUUUCUCUUUUCGUUUCAAGAAAGAAAGGCUAUUUUUCAUCGGAAUAUGGCCGGAUAAAUGCAAACAAAAUGUCUCCUCCAUCAUGAUGCAAGGGAUACAGUAAAACUAAUUUUGACUUCAGGCUCUAUGAAGUAAAGUUGGUCCAUUCAUUCUGUGUAAAGAAUUUGGCACUCCAAAUUUUCCCUUACUUAAUUUUAAGAGACAAAGAAGGGGAGGGGCAAUUAUAGCAUUACUAUUUUACUCUAGCUACUGAAAUUAUAAUGUAUUUUACUAUAAAAACCAUUAUCCUCAAAAUAGCUCUCAGCCAAGCAAGGCAAAAAAAAAAAAAAUGUGUAAAGUGCUAAGAGUAUAGAACUCUGGAUCCAACAGAGAGCCCAAAUUACUUUCAAGCACAUAUGUAAUUUUUAAAAGAUGAAUGGGCUAAACUUUCUACUCUAAAACAACUAAUAUUUCUUGAUAACAUUUUAAGAAAUUUUUCUAAAUGCAUUACAGAGCUUGAACUAAAACAAGGAAAAAUGUCAAAGGCCAAAAGUGUGAUUUGAAAAGUGUGCAUCUAGUGGGGCUGUCUUCUAGAGAACCCUGACUAAUACAAAUACACUUGUUUUGAUUUACUACUGAGUCAAGAGCAAGUAGAGCAAAGGAUAUAGAUAUCACUCACACCUCUCGCCUCUUGAAAACAGAAAGAAAAAGUAACCCUAGUACAUCAAUAGAGUUUAAUCAAACUUUGAAAAGCAACACUCUCAUAUAUCAUGCAAGUGAUAGUGUGAAUGUUUGAGGAAGGACAAGCGGAUCCUGCCAUAAGCAAAAGGAAUGAGCACAAAGACAAAAGCAAAAUAUCCUGGAAGCGAUUCAAAUUUCUUAAUGGACCAUUAGCAAACACACAGUGAGGUAAAGCUCUGGAUUUGGUUGGAUGGCACCAUUUUGAUCAGUGGCUGACAUCAAACAGUGAGAUCGAUUUGGCUUACAGCGCAACAGAGCACAUUGAUUGGACCUUUUUUAUUUAUUUGUCCCCUUAUAACUCGUUCUUUGCCUUGAUAUGGACAAUCUCUGCAAGAUAUAAAAGGGCUCAGUCUCUGAUCCUUUAAAAAAGAUGCUUUGCUACUGGAAAAGUGGUGUGGUGUUGAGGUAGAGGCAGUGUUGAUGAAAGUCAGCAUCACUUUAUAAUUGCACUAAAUAUAAAACUUUUGUACUUCUGUUAGUAAAGACAUUGUGCCCCUUCAAUGCAAACAAUAAGCUUUGGGACAUGAGCAAGAGCAAAUAUCAUUAAGUAUUUUAUUCACUGUGUUGAAUCCAUUAUAGAUGACACCUGAAAGAAAAGCAUUAAAUAUGAUGCCACCUCACAAGGAUCCUGUAAUUUUAAUGUAUUAGACCUCAUGGUAUCUCAUUAGGUAUAAUUUUGACUGCAAGCACAGCAUUAAUGUUGUAAUAGCCAUUUGGUUUGCCUUAUAGGCAGCUACUGAGGAACAGGAAUUACCUAAUAAAAUUUAUCAGAUUGAAUUCCAAAAUCUGAUAAUGUGAGUUGAUCUAAUUAUCUUUCUUCCACCUCUCUCCAACAAAGCUGUAUCUAAUGAUAGCAAAAGCAUUGUAAAGGCAUUUUUGCAUUGUUUGAAGGAGGCAAGCCUUCUGAAACUCCUUCAUUAUGGAGAAGGGGAGAAGAGAAGCUGCCACAGGCCAUAGGAGGUACGGGGUUAAGGAAGAAGAGACUGGUACUGUUUUUUCUAUAAGCAGAAUGGUAAUAUUUAUUUUCUUACUAAGCUUGAUCCUAGAAUUGAUCGAUAUUUAAAUUGCUGAGUGAAGGAGGCAUAUGGAAAAAUAUCAUAAUCAAUAUUGCCUAGUUAGUUGAAAUAGAAACUGUCAAAGGAUUUUGAAUUACCAUAAGAUGAUGAAAAUUGAGUAUUCUUUCCCUCUUAAUAUACUGGCCAUAGGAAAUUUAAGAAUCACAACUCAAGAGGCCAUCUAAGUCCUAAAAUUUAUUCAUACCACUAAGAAAGAAAAAGAGAUUAUUAACUGAAUGGAAAAAUACUUCAAAAGAUUUCCUCAAUCUCAUCCCUUUAAUCUUACAAAAGAGAGAGAGAGAGAGAGAGAGAGAGAGAGAGAGAGAGAGGUCUCCCCUAGAUCAAACUAUUACUACCCUUCUUCUCUUCUCAAUACAAAGCAGAGCCUAGUAGUCUGGACUUCCUCAGAUGAAAUUUAUCCAUUAUCCUACUCCAGGUAGUUUCCUCUUCUCCUUUUUAAUAAAAGUACUCCUGCCAGCGUCACUAACUACCUCCUAUUUUGCAAAUUCUGUGACUGUCUCAAGCCUAAUGUUACUUUCAUCAGCAACAUUUCACAUGAUUAAGCCUUCUAUCCUACUUGAACUCUUUCCUAUUAUGACUUCCACAUCCAGACACUGCUGGUUUUGUGUUUUUAUUUUGUUCCGUGUGCUUGUUUGUUUUCUCACUUCUGCAUUUCUUCACAUUCAUUCUUUAACCCUGUUUUAGUUUUUUAUAACUCCAAACUUCCCUUCAAAGCCGGGACUUCUCAACUUCUUUUUUUCUUUCAUCUAUCUCUUGUGUUAUCUUUUCCCUGUGGUUUCCCCUAGGUGAUGGUAAGUACAAGCAUAUCCACAAAGAUUCCCCUCACAUACUGCCAAAUCACAAUAUCCAAAGUACAUUCGGUACACUUCCUCUGAAACUUACACUGCCUAGAAUUUGCUCUCUCAAUUUCCCAACCAGAAAACCAAGAAUUAUCCUGAAAAUACAACUAAAAUAUCAGUAUACAUAUUAAGUAUUUUAUCUAGAAGCUGUGUUUUCACAUUUCUCUUUAAACUACUAGUUAGUAGUACUGCAAUCACAGUAACAGUAGCUAAAAAUAAUUUUGCCUUUCAAGGAAGAAGAUACUGACUAGAUUGUCUAGUGAAAAGUAGUAAUUAAAAAUAUUGCUGUACUUUUGAUCUUUAAGUAUGCAAAUUAAACUUAAAAGUACAGAAAAUUAGGGUUGAAAUAUGCACCUAUUCCUUUAAAAGGAAAAACCUUCACUCUAUGGACCAAAAAAAAGUUACUGUGUAAAGAGAAGAUUGAUUUCACUUCACAUGACUGAUUUGUCUAGAGCAUGAAGAUUUAUUAUCAUAAGAAGUUAUUAUUUCAGGAAACUAAAGAUAAAAUCAAUACUUUGGAGAUCAUUAAAUCUUGGCAUGAAUUGAGCACUGAAGGCAAGAUAUUUUACUGUGACAUGAAGAUAUUUAUAUUUUAUGAAUUCUGAGGUCAUUUUGCUGGCACAUUUAAUUUUGGCCUAAAUAAAGGCAAAAAAAAUUAUCAUUUUGGAUUAUCUCUGCUCAAUGUUGUAACAAUAUGUGCUACUCUACAUUUAAUUAUAAAGUUUUGUUUUGCUGUAUAAUUGUGAUUAAUAAAACAAGGGCAUAUGAGAAAUGAAGUAAUAAAAGUUUAUAGUCAAUAUAAUUAUUCUAGAACAAAAAUCGUUUCAUUCAAACAAAGUAUAAAAGAGUUUGACAAAAGAUCGAAAGUUAAGGUAAUUCAUGUUUAAGACUGCUGUUUUAAAUGUAAAUACAAGUGAGCUAUUUUUUCUUUAUGAGUAACUAAUAAUGAAAAUACCAGGUCAUUUAUUUCUUAAAUUUUAUUCUUUUCAUAUAUGAUACCCAGCUAUUAACGGCUUUCAAAACAGAUUUCAAUAAAUCAGCAUCCAAAUGAGUCUAAAACAUUCUUAAAAUACUAAAACUACACUCUCUCCAAGGGUAGUGUAUUUUCUUUUGCAAUAUGAAUUCUAUCUUCUGGAACAUUCAAUAAAUAAAUGGCCACUCUCAGGUCCACCGUGCAGAGAAAAUCAAAGAUAGGCCAGAGGGUCUUUAUGGGGAAUAAGUAAAAACAGACCAAAUGACGAAGUUCUGUAUUGCCAAGCACAUGUAUAAUGUUUUAUGUAUUUCCCUCUCUCCUUCGUUUCCUUCCUUUCUUCUUCCUUCCUUCAUGCUUUCCUCCCUUCUUUCCUAUUUUGUUGUUCUAUCUUCUCCCCUCCUCCUUUUUCUCCUUUCCCUUUCUCUUCUGCUCUUCUUCUCUCUCCUUUUAUCAAAAGUGUCAGGAAGACCAGCAUGAAAUAUCUUUAACUUUUAACAAUCACCUUUAACAAAACAUGUUCAUUAGCAUUAUCUUUGAGCAAUAAUACUUGAUAAGUCUAAGUGAGUUUGUGUUUUUAACUUGAUCAGAGAAGUAAUACUUUUACAGUUAAGAUGUUGGCAACAAAAGCACACCUCAGUAAAAAGUUCCAGAAAUACAGGCACUCGUGUAAAAGCAAGAUUUGAGACAUGUGGAUGUGGUGAGCCAAUGUAAAACAUAAGCAAUGUUAUAAGGGUUGAAUUCAUAAGAGUAUGUAGUCUAAAACAAUUUAAAUCUGUAUUAUUAAUUAUAUUACCCAUAAUAAAAUUGGCUUACACGUCUAAUAAAAUAUGUAAAGGGGAGGUUAAAUAGUUGAUAACAGAAAUAAUUAAAAGUCUAUGGAAAGAGUCAAAAUUAAUGAAUAUUCUAGGCUAAAAUUAAAAAUAUCAAAUAUAGGCGAAGUAAGUCAAAACUGGAGAGUAAAGGGAUAUAGUAAAUAUGUAAAUAAAUAUUAUUUCUCUAAGCUUUAAUAGUGUGGAGAAAAUCACAUAAAGGAUCCACAUUAUUUUUAAAAUCUGGUUGGCACUGUGUUUGCAAGGAUGUUAAACAAAUGGUCCUAAUGUAUUCUUACAUUUAGUCCAAUUUAUGACAGAAUUUGAACUAAAUAUAGAUUCUCUUUAUAGUAAUACCUCAAUUGUAUUUGUUAUGCUGACUUGAAACAUAUGAAUUAUUAAUUUUAUGUAAAAUAAUUCAUAGAAACAGGUUAGGAAACAAGCUGUUAAAAAUUAGCAUUAAGAACAUUCUAAAAAUUAUUUUAUUUUCCUAUACUUUUCAUGAAAUGUGAACCCAAGUGAUUUAAAUUCACUUAUUAGAAAUCCAUUGUCUUUAAAAAGGGGAAGAAAAGAGGAUAUUUUUACAUGCUGACCGUAAUAACUUAUUCUUAAAUACUUCUGAGAUUAUAUGGUGAGAUAAUAAAUGUGUUCACCACAAAAUCAUUCCUAAACGCAGCUGUAAUAUGUCAAGAAUUAUCUAAUACAAGUGAAUUUAUUGAAGUUUAAAUGUAGAAAUAACAGCUGGUUCAACAUCUAAAAAAUAAUUAAUUACCAGCAUAAAUACUAUGACUAAAUGAUCAUUUGUAAUUUACAGUGAUCAAAUGAUUAAAGAUACAUGUUUUUAAAAAUAGGAAUACCCCAAAAUUACAGGUCAUUCUUAACUUUAAUGUAUCUGUUCAUAUAAAAAUAUUUGCAAUUAGAUCAAUGACAUAUUGUUAAACCCAUAAAUUGGUCAUGUAUUGCAUAAGAAUAUUAAUCUUUUUUAUAUUAACACUUUCAAAUCUGUUCUAAAAAUGUAACUAUUUUAUUUCAAACAAAUACCAUUUGCUUGCCUAAUGAGCAUUCUUAAGCAUCUGAUUGACCUGCCUAUUAUAAUUUAUGAAUUCAUAUGCUGGAAAUUUUUUCAACUAACAUAAUUGAAUUCUGUUUGAUACUCCAUGUUCAGUCUGCAUCCUGAGUAAAGUAUUUUUUCUGAAUAUUAAUAUAUCAUCUAAAAUGAAAGGUAAGAAUUCUGGGGUCAAUUAUAAUUUCUUACCUGAAUAAACAACCACACUAAAAUAUAUUUCUUCAUAAAUCUAAGUUAUUUCUAAUCAUAAUCUGAAUUAUCAUCAUUGUUUUAUUAUCUCACCAAGAAAACAGGAAUUAUAAGCAUAGCUUGGCUUACAGGUCAGACAUCAUUACUCUCACUUUGGUUUAUUUGUAAAGCACUAUCAAGUUAUAUCUGUAUUUGUGACUCAGCUUUUCUCUUUUUUCCCUACUUUCAUUUCAGGUUCAGGGAAUACCCAUAUGGGUCUGUUACAUGGGUCAACUACACGUUGCUGAGGUUUAAGUGAUGCUGAUUGAGUGGUAAUGCUGGAGUAUUUAAAAUUCAGCUCAAGUUCCUUCACUAGGGAGGCAUCAUUGAGUUCACCUUUCUUUGACAAUGUUGAUAAAUUUGCAUUAACUUUGUUUUUACAUUUUUAUCCUCACCCUCUAGCAAAUUAUAGAAUAAUUUUGCAAUGAUGCUUGUUAGUAGAACUCUGGCCAGAAUGAAGGAUAGUUUAUAGACACUCAGGAGAUAGUAUCUGUGACUUUGGCCUCAUUAAAAUGAGAUUUGAAACAAGUACAAAGAAAAGAGGGGCAGGAACAUUGAUUUUCUUGAACUUUAAAUUUCCAAAGUAUUUAUGGUUACCCAAGGUAUUAAAGACAGAGCUUUUAGUAGAUUGAAGUCGUUGUUAGCAAUGCAAAUUAGAAAAAAGCUGUUCUGAUACAAGGUAUUCAGCAUAGCCUACUGUGUGCUCCAAACACGGGUAUUUGGAUUCAGCUACAAUUGAAAUCCACAUUGCAGAAUUCUAGAGCAGGAAAAAAAUAUCUGACAUGGGUUGAUGGAUUUUGCUAAUCAGGGUUGACCAACUCACUUUCUGAAGACAAGGUGAAUGAAGCAUAUUUAUACGCAGGGAUAACAUCAAAUCAGACAUCUGUAUGUGUGUGUUUGAUCACUUCUAUUAGUCCAUUCUCACACUGCUAUAAAGAACUAUGUGAAACUGGGUAAUGUGUGAAGAAAAGAGGUUUAAUUGACUCACAGUUCCGCAAGCUGUACAAGAAGCAUGGCUGGGAGACCUCAAGAAAUUUACAAUCAUGGUGCAAGGCGAAGGGGAAGCAAGCACUUCUUACCAUGGCAGAACAGAAAAGAGAGAAUGCCAAGAAGUAAGGGCUAUGUACUUUAAAACAACCAGAUGUCUUGAGAACUCUAUUACUAUCCCCAGAACAGCAAGGGGGAAAUCUGCCCCCAUGAUUCAGUCACCUCCCACCAGGUCCCUCCCCCAAUACUAGGAAUUACAAUGUGACAUGAGAUUUGGGUGGGGACUCAGAACUAAACCAUAUUAUCACCCCUUCCAGCUUAACUCAGAAAACAUCCAAAGAUGUAGUCUUCAUCUGUCUCAUGUAACCAAUGCUGUAGCCAUGGAAACAGUGUGGCAGAAGUGCAACAGCAGAGGUUAGGGACCCCAGCUCUAAAGCCAGAUUUGUAGUUUUCAGGCUCAUUUCACCACUUACUCACUAUGCAGACUUCUAAGUCACUUUACUAUACUGGGGCUCAAUUUCCCCAUUUGCAAAAUUGGGAUAAUAAUGCUGCCUCUAGCAUGAUGUGUUUAAGAAGAUUAAAUACAUUAAUUCAGGGUAGGUUUUUAAAACAGUACUUGAUACAAAAUACUCAAGCAAUAUACAUUAUUAUGAUCACUUCAGAGAGGUUCAGUUCUAUUAUUCUUGUAAAUACUCAGUUCUCUCUCUACUUGCCUAAAAUCUGUUUAUGUUUAAAGCUUUUAUGAGAGAUAUUGGCUAAAUAUUCUUUUCACCCCCAGUUCUUUCAGUGUUACUGAUAAGUAGUUAAGUAAACUCUUUACAUAGUUUAUGAAAUUCUUUAUGACAGAUGAAACAGACAAUGUUGGAAAAAUUAUGAAUUUCUUCUGAAGUAUGCUCUUGAAAUGCUACUUCAUUUAGCCUCAAAUUCAAAAACAAUAACUUCAUUCUAUCAGAUAAUCUGAUAAUGUACACUAGUCCAAAGUACGGCUUAAUUGUCCAUUUUCAAAGAACAUAAGAUUCCUUACUUCAUUUAUACACAAUUUCUUUGACUUUCCACUAUUCGCAAGGUACAGUACUACUAGUUAUACAUGGUAUAGAAAAGGUUUAUAGUAUAAGUACAAAAUAAAAUGAAAACUGAUCAGAGCCUUAGAAUUACACAUAGCAACCAAAGAUGUGGCAGACAGACACUAUCUGCCUUCAUAUCCACCUUCAAUCAUUGAAGACCGCCUUCAAUGUUUUUCUGCUGCUGGUUUCAUGUCCUGGUGAAUUUUUCCCCCCCACACUAAAUGUGCACAGGACUUGCAGCUUGUUGUAACCAGUAAAAGAUGGCAAAGUUAUGUGAUGUAGCUUCCAUGAUUGCAUUACAUAUAAUUAUAACCUCUCUCCUGCUGGGAGACUCUUUAGCAAGGCCCACCCUUAUUGGCUUUGAUGGCAAAGGCCCUAUGAAGGUAAGGAGCAAUGGGCAGCUUCUAACCAACAGCCAAAAAGAAGCUGAGGCUUUCAGUCCCACAAUCUGCAGAAACUGAAUCUUCCUAAAACCUCAGUCAGUUUGGAUUCUUAACUGAUUGAGCCCCCGGUGAGACUCCAAGUAGGUCCAUUAUCUUCACUGCAGCCAGAGAGGUACACUGAAGCAAAGGAUUCAUUCUUAUUCCUGACCACAGAAACUUGCAUAAUAAAUGUGUGCAGUGUUAGGCCACUCUUUGUGAUAAUUUGUUACAGAGUAAUAGAAAGCAAAUAUAAAUUUGAAAGAGCUUACAAUCCAUGUUAUUGCUUUCCCAGGUGCUAUGAUAUAGUAUUAUUACAUAAUCAAAUAAGAUAUAGGACAUUUUCCUCAAUGUAUAGUUUUAUUUCAUAUUGAAUUAAGUCUCAGAACCUUAGAAGUCUUCUCUAUGUGUCUGCUAAACCACAUCCUCCAUUUUUCUUAAAUAAUAAUAGCCAUUCUUUUUAUUUUUCUUACAGUUCUAUUGGCCAUGCAUGCAUCUCCAGCGUAAUUUAUAGAAGUUUAAAAAAAAACUUCACAACUUCAUCAUGCUUUCUAUCUGCUUGUGACUUGCUUCUUUUUUUUUUUUUUUUUUUUAUGUUAUGUUUGUGAAUCCCAUCCAUCUUGACUAGUGUAGCUAUAUCGGGUUUUUUUGUGUUAUGUCAGUCCAUUGUAUAAACCUAUCAAUUUGUCCUUCCAAAUACAACUGGAGAUUCUGCCUCUUUCCCGCAGCAACUCAAAGACACAAUGCUUGUACUAUAAGCACUGUUGUGCCUGUCUCCUGGUGCGUAUUUUCACAUGUGAAGUUCCUCAGUGACAGGGAUGUGCAUUUCAGCUUAAGUAGGUAACACCAAGCUGUUUUCCAAAGUGACAGUGCAAGCAAUGUAUGACAUUCAUGCUUCACCAUAUUGUUACCAAUACAUGGUGUUGUCAAAUUUCAGUUUUGCCAAUGUAUUGGGUAUAUAACAGUAUCAAAUCAUGAUUUCACUUUCCUAAUUACUAAAAAGGUUAUUUUUCAAUAUUUUAUUGAUAUGUGGAUUUUCAC